CGUCUCCUACCCUAAAUUUUCUUUAAUUUCGUGUGUCUGCUGUGUUUUCGUCUCAGUUUCCGUCAAACGUCGAUUCAUCUUGCCGAAUGUUGUUUAGUGGUUGUGCCGUUUAGUCAUCUUUCAUCCUCGUCGUAUUGAGUUCGCCGUCCACUGGGCUUAUCAUCCGACCAUGUCGCGUUCGGCCAUCUCAGAUUUGGUUGCUGUUCACCAAAGUAGUCCAAGAGGAAUUCAUUUUAGGUGUGUUGGACCCCGCCAACAACUUUCAGAACUAUAGGAGGUCAUUUAUUACUGCACACCACCUGUUGGUAAUCCAGUUAUUAAAGGGCAGCGAGCUCUUAUUCGAAAUAUAUGCAUAGAACGCAUACAAAGAGCAAAACGGAAUGUUGAGGUACCGAUGCAUUUUCCUUUCUGUUCACAUAGACUAAAUUUUCUCUUUAUUCAAACGCUCAACCCUAGUGUUUUUUUAGCGUUAGUUUUUUUUUUAAUUUUUUUAAUGAAAAAUUUUAUUGAUUUUUUUUUAAAAAUAUGACGAAAAAAAGAGAAAAGAACUUAUGAGGUUUUGGGUUGGGCUGUAGAGCUGUUCACUCUUUUGACAUGACUAGUUAAUAGUUAAUAGUUGUUCACUCAUAAUAAUGCUCUAGUUGUGGAGGCUUGGUAGAGACAAAGUAUAGUGGAUAGAAUGAUAUUUUUAUGUAUUCUAGAAUCUUCUCUUGAUACUCUGAUGUAAUAAGAUUAGGAUAAUUUGGUAAAUUCAAAUUAAUCUUGGUUAAUCUUUGACUAAUUACAUUUUAAUCUUCUAAUUAGUUUUUAUUUACUUUUAGUAUCGUAUCGUACAUUUAAUUCUCUUUAAAUAGAGAAUUCUUUUCUUGUAUUAGACAACUUUUGAUUCAUAAUAAUGACUUUGAUUUGAUUCUUGGAGAAAGUUCUCCUUUUAUCUCUUUAGGCUACAUCAUAUUCUCUCAGUAAAUUUUUCUAAAUAUUGAUUUUAUCGUGUUAUUAUGUUCAUUGGAAGUUAGCAACCUUGCAAUUACUAUCAAUUUUGUCGACCUGACAAUCAGUUUGGCUAUUAGAGCCCUUGUGCUACCUCCAAUACAAGAUAUUGAGACAUGGCUAAAGUUUGCUUCUCUUUGUCGGAAAAAUGGGAAAGCCAACCAGGCAAGAUCUACUCUUGUUAAGCUUUUACAGUGAUGUUGGCAUACUUGAAAUACCAAUGGUCACUUAGGGAGGAUAUUUUCACUCAAUAGCAUGUGCUCCAAAUUCUAAAGGACAUCCUCCGUCUUCUCACUUUAUGUUUCAACCAUGGAGCCACUGCAAAAAGGAUUUGCUCAUGUAAAUAUCAACACGUGGCUUGUAGUCUUACCUUAGAUAAUUGCAAGGAUACAUUCAAAUAAUCAUGCAGUAAGAGAGCUUAUACAGUCACUAUCGGUCAGAAUUGGGCAAAGCCAUCCUCAAGUUUGUUUCCUAUAUCAUCCUUUUGCAUUAUGUUUAGGUUUGGGCUCAACUUUUAUCUAAAGAAUUGAUUCGAUUUGCCAUAAUUUGGCAUGAAACAUGGCAUGAGGCUCUAGAGAAGGCUAGUCGUUUGUACUUUGGUGAACAUAACAUUCAUAAGAGUUGAAUUGUUCAUAUGAAGGGGGGAGGUUGAUAGGUGAAUUGUUCAUAAGAGUUGAAUUGUUCUGAAACUUUGUUGUGGUAGUCAUUUUGAAACUUUGUUGUGGUUGCCAUUAUGAAAUUUUAUGUAUAUAGAUGAUAUACUUUUGGGCUAAGUUAGUUAAUUAGAGGAUGUUGAGUUGAAUUCUUGGAAAUCUGAUAGAAUUGUUUAUAUUGGUUUUGUAAAUGAUAUGAAUCAAAGUUUUGGAAAUGAUAUGGUGAAAGGUUUUAUAUUUGAUGAA